rnacentral:rRNA from 1 species
CGACCGGCGCACGGGUGAGUAACGCGUAUGCAACCUACCUAUAACAGGGGGAUAGCUUCCGGAAACGGAAAUUAAUACCCCAUAGUACCUAAGUAUCGCAUGAUAUUAAGGUUAAAGCUUCGGUGGUUAUAGAUGGGCAUGCGUGCCAUUAGCUAGUUGGUGAGGUAACGGCUCACCAAGGCAACGAUGGCUAGUGGGUCUAAAAGGAUGGUCCCCCACACUGGUACUGAGACACGGACCAG